UACGUAGGGCGCAAGCGUUGUCCGGAAUUAUUGGGCGUAAAGAGCUUGUAGGCGGUCUGUCGCGUCUGCUGUGAAAAUCCGGGGCUCAACCCCGGACUUGCAGUGGGUACGGGCAGACUAGAGUGUGGUAGGGGAGACUGGAAUUCCUGGUGUAGCGGUGAAAUGCGCAGAUAUCAGGAGGAACACCGAUGGCGAAGGCAGGUCUCUGGGCCACUACUGACGCUGAGAAGCGAAAGCAUGGGGAGCGAAACAGG
rnacentral:rRNA from 1 species